rnacentral:lncRNA from 1 species
CGAGAGAGGGUGACAUGAGAAAGUCGUAUGGGUAGUGUGGACAAAUAAGUAGGGUGAAGGAGAGGCGUUAGGGUAGGGUGGACAUGAGAGUAGGGUAAAGGAAAGACUAGGGUGAAGGUGAGAGUAGGGGGGGGUGGACAUGAGAGUAGGGUGAAGGACUGGAGGUUAGUAGGGUCGGGUGGACAUGGGAGUAGGGUGAAGGAGAGCGUAGGGUCGGCGUGGACCUGAGCUGGUGAGAAGAGCGGGGGAGUGGAUGGUGAAGGACUUAAGAGAGCAGGGGAGGA